UUUGGUUAAGUUAGAAAGGGCGCACGGUGGAUGCCUUGACACUAGGAGUCGAUGAAGGACGGGACUAACGCCGAUAUGCUUCGGGGAGCUGUAAGUAAGCUUUGAUCCGAAGAUUUCCGAAUGGGGAAACCCACCAUACGUAAUGGUAUGGUAUCCUUAUCUGAAUACAUAGGGUAAGGAAGACAGACCCAGGGAACUGAAACAUCUAAGUACCUGGAGGAAGAGAAAGCAAAUGCGAUUUCCUGAGUAGCGGCGAGCGAAACGGAACAUAGCCCAAACCAAGAGGCUUGCCUCUUGGGGUUGUAGGACAUUCUAUACGGAGUUACAAAGGAACGAGGUAGACGAAGCGACCUGGAAAGGUCCGUCGUAGAGGGUAACAACCCCGUAGUCGAAACUUCGUUCUCUCUUGAAUGUAUCCUGAGUACGGCGGAACACGUGAAAUUCCGUCGGAAUCUGGGAGGACCAUCUCCCAAGGCUAAAUACUCCCUAGUGAUCGAUAGUGAACCAGUACCGUGAGGGAAAGGUGAAAAGCACCCCGGAAGGGGAGUGAAAGAGAUCCUGAAACCGUGUGCCUACAAAUAGUCAGAGCCCGUUAACGGGUGAUGGCGUGCCUUUUGUAGAAUGAACCGGCGAGUUACGAUCCCGUGCGAGGUUAAGCUGAAGAGGCGGAGCCGCAGCGAAAGCGAGUCUGAAUAGGGCGUUUAGUACGUGGUCGUAGACCCGAAACCAGGUGAUCUACCCAUGUCCAGGGUGAAGUUCAGGUAACACUGAAUGGAGGCCCGAACCCACGCACGUUGAAAAGUGCGGGGAUGAGGUGUGGGUAGCGGAGAAAUUCCAAUCGAACCUGGAGAUAGCUGGUUCUCCCCGAAAUAGCUUUAGGGCUAGCCUUAAGUGUAAGAGUCUUGGAGGUAGAGCACUGAUUGGACUAGGGGUCCUCAUCGGAUUACCGAAUUCAGUCAAACUCCGAAUGCCAAUGACUUAUCCUUAGGAGUCAGACUGCGAGUGAUAAGAUCCGUAGUCAAAAGGGAAACAGCCCAGACCGCCAGCUAAGGUCCCAAAGUGUGUAUUAAGUGGAAAAGGAUGUGGAGUUGCUUAGACAACUAGGAUGUUGGCUUAGAAGCAGCCACCAUUUAAAGAGUGCGUAAUAGCUCACUAGUCGAGUGACUCUGCGCCGAAAAUGUACCGGGGCUAAAUACACCACCGAAGCUGCGGAUUGAUACCGAAUGGUAUCAGUGGUAGGGGAGCGUUCUAAGGACAGUGAAGUCAGACCGGAAGGACUGGUGGAGUGCUUAGAAGUGAGAAUGCCGGUAUGAGUAGCGAAAGACGGGUGAGAAUCCCGUCCACCGAAUGCCUAAGGUUUCCUGAGGAAGGCUCGUCCGCUCAGGGUUAGUCAGGACCUAAGCCGAGGCCGACAGGCGUAGGCGAUGGACAACAGGUUGAUAUUCCUGUACCACCUCUUUAUCGUUUGAGCAAUGGAGGGACGCAGAAGGAUAGAAGAAGCGUGCGAUUGGUUGUGCACGUCCAAGCAGUUAGGCUGAUAAGUAGGCAAAUCCGCUUAUCGUAAAGGCUGAGCUGUGAUGGGGAAGCUCCUUAUGGAGCGAAGUCUUUGAUUCCCCGCUGCCAAGAAAAGCUUCUAGCGAGAUAAAAGGUGCCUGUACCGCAAACCGACACAGGUAGGCGAGGAGAGAAUCCUAAGGUGUGCGAGAGAACUCUGGUUAAGGAACUCGGCAAAAUGACCCCGUAACUUCGGGAGAAGGGGUGCUUUCUUAACGGAAAGCCGCAGUGAAUAGGCCCAAGCGACUGUUUAGCAAAAACACAGCUCUCUGCGAAGCCGUAAGGCGAAGUAUAGGGGGUGACACCUGCCCGGUGCUGGAAGGUUAAGGAGAGGGGUUAGCGUAAGCGAAGCUCUGAACUGAAGCCCCAGUAAACGGCGGCCGUAACUAUAACGGUCCUAAGGUAGCGAAAUUCCUUGUCGGGUAAGUUCCGACCCGCACGAAAGGUGUAACGAUUUGGGCACUGUCUCAACCAGAGACUCGGUGAAAUUAUAGUACCUGUGAAGAUGCAGGUUACCCGCGACAGGACGGAAAGACCCCGUGGAGCUUUACUGUAGCCUGAUAUUGAAUUUUGGUACAGUUUGUACAGGAUAGGCGGGAGCCUUUGAAACCGGAGCGCUAGCUUCGGUGGAGGCGCUGGUGGGAUACCGCCCUGACUGUAUUGAAAUUCUAACCUACGGGUCUUAUCGACCCGGGAGACAGUGUCAGGUGGGCAGUUUGACUGGGGCGGUCGCCUCCUAAAGUGUAACGGAGGCGCCCAAAGGUUCCCUCAGAAUGGUUGGAAAUCAUUCGUAGAGUGCAAAGGCAUAAGGGAGCUUGACUGCGAGACCUACAAGUCGAGCAGGGACGAAAGUCGGGCUUAGUGAUCCGGUGGUUCCGCAUGGAAGGGCCAUCGCUCAACGGAUAAAAGCUACCCCGGGGAUAACAGGCUUAUCUCCCCCAAGAGUCCACAUCGACGGGGAGGUUUGGCACCUCGAUGUCGGCUCAUCGCAUCCUGGGGCUGUAGUCGGUCCCAAGGGUUGGGCUGUUCGCCCAUUAAAGCGGUACGCGAGCUGGGUUCAGAACGUCGUGAGACAGUUCGGUCCCUAUCCCUCGUGGGCGUAGGAAAUUUGAGGGGAGCUGUCCUUAGUACGAGAGGACCGGGAUGGACGCACCGCUGGUGUACCAGUUGUUCUGCCAAGGGCAUAGCUGGGUAGCUAUGUGCGGAAGGGAUAAGUGCUGAAAGCAUCUAAGCAUGAAGCCCCCCUCAAGAUGAGAUUUCCCAUAGCGUAAGCUAGUAAGAUCCCUGAAAGAUGAUCAGGUUGAUAGGUUCGAGGUGGAAGCAUGGUGACAUGUGGAGCUGACGAAUACUAAUAGAUCGAGGACUUAACCAUAUAA
rnacentral:rRNA from 1 species